rnacentral:rRNA from 1 species
UCCACGCCGUAAACGAUGGAUGCUAGCUGUAAGAGGUAUCGACCCCUCUUGUAGCGAAGCUAACGCGUUAAGCAUCCCGCCUGUGGAGUACGGUCGCAAGACUAAAACAUAAAGGAAUUGACGGGGACCCGCACAAGCGGUGGAGCGUGUUGUUUAAUUCGAUGGUAAGCGAAGAACCUUACCCAGGCUUGACAUCCUUGGAAGCACUGCGAAAGCAGAGUGUGCCUUCGGGAACCAAGUGACAGGUGUUGCAUGGCCGUCGUCAGCUCGUGUC